CCCUUAGAUGUUCUGGGCCGCACGCGCGCUACACUGAUGCAUUCAACGAGCCUAUCCUUGACCGACAGGUCCGGGUAAUCUUUAAAUCCGCUCGUGAUGGGGAUUGACGGUUGCAAUUUUCUGUCAUGAACGAGGAAUACCUUGUAAGCGCGGGUCAUCAUCCCGCGCUGAAUACGUCCCUGCCCUUUGUACACACCGCCCGUCGCUCCUACCGAUUGAGUGGUCCGGUGAGGCUUUGGGAUCUGAGCGGAAAGAGCGUUUCGCUGUUUCUGCUCGGAAAACUCAGUCGAACCUUAUCAUUUAGAGGAAGGAGAAGUCGUAACA
rnacentral:rRNA from 1 species